CGAAAAGAACCCCGGCGAGGGGAGUGAAAAAGAACCUGAAACCGUGUACGUACAAGCAGUGGGAGCACGCUUAGGCGUGUGACUGCGUACCUUUUGUAUAAUGGGUCAGCGACUUAUAUUCUGUAGCAAGGUUAACCGAAUAGGGGAGCCGAAGGGAAACCGAGUCUUAACUGGGCGUUAAGUUGCAGGGUAUAGACCCGAAACCCGGUGAUCUAGCCAUGGGCAGGUUGAAGGUUGGGUAACACUAACUGGAGGACCGAACCGACUAAUGUUGAAAAAUUAGCGGAUGACUUGUGGCUGGGGGUGAAAGGCCAAUCAAACCGGGAGAUAGCUGGUUCUCCCCGAAAGCUAUUUAGGUAGCGCCUCGUGAAUUCAUCUCCGGGGGUAGAGCACUGUUUCGGCAAGGGGGUCAUCCCGACU
rnacentral:rRNA from 1 species